GGGCCCGCACAAGCAGCGGAGCAUGUGGUUUAAUUCGAAGCAACGCGAAGAACCUUACCUAGACUUGACAUCUCCUGAAUAGCGUAGAGAUACGUGAAGCCCUUCGGGGCAGGAAGACAGGUGGUGCAUGGUUGUCGUCAGCUCGUGUCGUGAGAUGUUGGGUUAAGUCCCGCAACGAGCGCAACCCUUAUCAUUAGUUGCUACCAUUAAGUUGAGCACUCUAGUGAGACUGCCCGGGUUAACCGGGAGGAAGGCGGGGAUGACGUCAAAUCAUCAUGCCCCUUAUGUCUAGGGCUACACACGUGCUACAAUGGUAGGAACAAAGAGAUGCAAGACCGCAAGGUGGAGCCAAACUUCAAAACCUAUCCCAGUUCGGAUUGUAGGCUGAAACUCGCCUACAUGAAGCUGGAGUUGCUAGUAAUCGCGAAUCAGAAUGUCGCGGUGAAUACGUUCCCGGGCCUUGUACACACCGCCCGUCACACCAUGAGAGUCGGCAACACCCGAAGCCCGUGAGGUAACCUUUUGGAACCAGCGGUCGAAGGUGGGGUUGAUAAUUGGGGUGAAGUCGUAACAAGGUAGCCGUAGGAGAACCUGCGGCUGGAUCAC
rnacentral:rRNA from 1 species